rnacentral:rRNA from 1 species
UUUUAUUUAGAGUUUGAUCCUAGCUCAGGAUGAACGCUGGCGGCGUGGAUAAGGCAUGCAAGUCGAACGAAUUUUCUAAAAUCGGAGAUGCGAUUAUAUCAAGUCAAAGUUUUUAAAAAAUUAGUGGCGAACGAGGUAGUAAUACAUAGGAACUUUCCCCAAGGUCGUGAAUAAUCCGUCGAAAGACGGACUAAUACACGAUGGUAUCCGACUUUGGUCGGAUUAAAGAUUUAUCGCCUUGGGAAAGGCCUGUGCGGUAUCAGCUAGUUGGCGGUGUAAUAGACCACCAAGGCGGACGCCUAGGGGAGCUGAGAGGCUGACCCC